GCCCAAACUCAUGAUAGAAGGAUAAAAACUAAAUUACAGUUCCAAUUCAAACAAUGGCCGAGCACAAUCGAUACAAACCUCAGAUAACGAUUCAGAUUCAAAGAUCAGCGGAAACUAAACAGUUGCUAAUUCAUACUCGCAGCAUUUGCGUCUUCAUUUAGUGAUACUCGGAAAUAGCAAACAAAAAUUCAAAAAGAGAAUAUACAUUGUUGGCAAGUAAAACCCAAUGAAAUCUAAAAUUCGACAUGUUUCCGUCUCGCUACUCGCCAGCCCCUGCAAAUACCCAACUGAUGAUUUAACCAUGUAGCGUUGUCCUUACCUAGGACACAAUAUCUAAGCCCACAUCAAAGCCGGAAUCCACCGGUGACUUUACACAAAUAAGCUCCAGCAAGAUUAUUUCAUAGUUAAUUACAAUAUCUAUCAAUUUCAUACGAGUAUGCAGUCUCUAAGAUGGGCAAGUAAUACAACUUUAUGAACCAAGUCAUCAUAAAACCGAUUGAACCUCCGCCGCUGCCUCCAAAGAUUCCGGCAGAGAACAGCUGGAUUGAACAUCCCAGGUCGUCUCUCUCGCCAACCACAAAUCUUUCGCUAGGCCGCCAGCGACGCCAUGCCGCCACCUACCUCGCCUCUCUGACUGCUCAACUCUCUCUCCCUCUGAGAUACCUCGCUCGACUCCCUCUCAGACCAGUAACUGCAGAUUCGCAAAUCUGAUUCCGACUUCCCCAACACACCUCCUUAUCUCGCAAACUGGCAACGGCCGCCGAAAUGCCACGCCGCCGCCGCGUGCCGUCCCCUCUUCCCGAGUCGAGCAGCAGAAAAGAGAGGGAGCCACCCCUUCCUUCUUUGGCGCAAUGAGUACAACAACAAACUCCCACCAUCGCCACCUCCUCUGACCUUCGGUGACCAAGUCACGGCCGUCGCCUUCGGCCCAGGGCUCCUCGCCUCCUCUCUUUUCCCGAACAAGCUUCCUCUCUCAAACGUUGUGAUCGUUGCCGCCUAUUGAAUGGCGGCACCACCCAGAUCCCCAAAUCGCAGCCGCCGCUGCCCUCUCUCUCUCUCAAUCUCCUCCAUCGCUCAAAUCUCCCAUCAACACCACAUCUCCUCCUUCGCCUAUCCGGCGAAGGGCGUCCCCCAGGCUACGCCUGAAAAACCCCAGGCACCAACCACCGAUGACCCUCCUCAGAACUUGAAUCACGCCGGCAAAACAGCAGGGAUGUCGUUCUCUGCUCGACGGAAGAAUGAGACGAGAGAAAGAGAAUCAGACGAACCCAAAUAGAAGAGGCAGAACCCUAAAAAAUUUCGAACCAGACUGGAGGAAAGACACCUUUGUUUUUUAUUCAGCACCAACCUAAAGAAAAUAAAUGUGAAAAAUCCCUCUCAAGAGAAUAUCAACGAUUAUCUUUCAGCCUGUAGAUAAUGCGAAUUAGAAAAAAUCCCGUAUUUUUACAGGCUGGUAGCACCAUUUUCGAGAAGUGCAGGCUGGUAAACAAUGCCAACUCCACGCAGGUUAAUGGGUUCAACUUGGCUUAAAUAGCUCCAUCUCGGCCCAAGUAUCUACAGGCUGGAGCAAUUCUUAUUUCAACAAAUGAGCCAAGUUGGAAUAAUUAAAAAACACUCCUAUUUCAAAAUUCCAAGCUGGGAGCCAAGCUCACAUAUCAGCUACGGCCACCGACGACGCCACGCCACCGUCGCGCGCCUCGUCUCUAACUCCACCCUGGAGAACUGCUGACCUCUCUCUCCCUCAUUCUUCCCUUCCCCCUCACUCAGAAGAAACGGACAAAAUUCGCCCAGCCAGCCACCACCCCAGGCGAAAGGCGUCGCCUCCGACCGCCGUUUGCCCAAGGGCCCAGGGCCGCGCCUGAAAAGCCUGAUGCACCAUCGCCGCCUUCGGCCCAUCUCCUCCUCUCUUCUCCUUCACAGGCGCGCGCCGCCGGGAGGCCCCCUCUCCUCUAAUCAAGCAAUGGCAGAAAAAGAGAGCCACCCCCUCCAAUUUCGACCUUCGGCGAAAUCGCCGCCUUAUCUCACCCUAUCUUUCGUCUCCCAUUCGAUAUCAGUCACCAUCGCUGUCUAUUGAGCGACGACGCCACCCUGAACCUUAGAUCCCUAAUCUACGCGACCACUGCGACGCCGCCUCUCCGUUGGCAGCAGCCACUACACGACCACCACUCAUCCAACGACCAUAGCCCCUAAAGCCGCGCCACUCGCUUUGAAACCAACGACCAGAGACUGAACGGCGCCGGCGAGCGGCUGGCUGCCGUGAUUUGUCCAACGGAGGAAGCGAGACGGGAGAGAGAAAUAUCCCCUUCCUUCUUAUUUUGAACCAG
rnacentral:lncRNA from 1 species